AAUUAGCAGAGGCUGCAGGGACUGGAAAACUCAGGGGUCCCCUGCAGCUAGAGUGAAAGGCAGAGGGGGAGACCAGACUGGGUCCCAGCCAGGCAACCGGGACGUGAAAGCUCACUGGAACCACAAGAGUCACAUGGAACGGACUGCAAAACUCACCCCGGUCAGAGCAUCGCGGUGGAGGGAACCACAGGCCUGGGUCUGGAAAACUAGCUUGUCAGCGCAGUGGCGGAUUUCGGAGGAAAAGGACCAGGGUUUGAUGUUCCUUAAGGAAACCAGCUAGAAAAUAUUGUUUGCUAAUAUUUUAUCCUUCAGUCUAAAGUUUUUAUAAUAAGAACUGAGCAGUCCUAGUUGUUAUUAUCUCAUAUGCCUGAAUAUUCUCAUAACAAUAAUCUAGUAGAUAAUUUGAAUGUACGUUUUGAUGUUGUAAAUUAAGAACAGCGCCUGCGAGACUGUAAGAAAUACUUUAAUUGUUGUUCUUUUUACUGUUGUGGAAAAACAAAGCGUUUCCUAAUUUAAAUUCUAAUUAAUUUGAAUUCUAACGUUCUUUUCUCCCAAUCUGAUAUCUAAGGCCAUAUCAUUAGUACCUGGCACCUUGUUCAAGAGAGCUUGUUAGUUUGUCAGGUAGGAAAGAUUCCGAUUUGACUGAAUGAGAAUAAAUAUUUGAGCAAGCCCCACAGUUACAGUUCUAAACAUUAAUUGUUAGUGUUCCAUCUGAGAUACAUGCACUCUGUGAUAUAAAUACAGCUAUCAGAAAUGCACAUUCUUAUGCUGAGGUCUUAAUAUUACACUUUAGGUUCCAGACAAACAAUGUGCAUGCUGAGUGUGAGGAGAUCAUUUCCUACACUUUUUAUAGCCAGAAAAUGCAUUAUAGAACAGGAUUAUUCUAGAAAGCAUCUUUUGAAUAAUUAUAAUCACUCAUCUUCAUCAGAAAGAUGUCUCUUUUGUCUCCUUGAUGUCUCUUGCAGUGGACAGACACAUGUCCAAGCUGUUGUGUUUUAUUUCAUUGUUGACAUGCAGUGAUGUGACUGUGGACUUCUCCCUGGAGAAGGAGGAAUGCUUAGACCCUGUCCAGAGAGUGUUGUACAAAAUCCUGCUGAUAGAGAACUACAGCAGUCUGGUUUCUGUGGGGCACAGCACUGUAUUUGAUCUAAGUACUUAAUGAAUCAAUGUGUUUCUCACAUGCAAAUCUCACACUGAUGACACCUGGUCACCUCUCUGGAGCAAAAACAAAGAGCUUUGGAAAGUGAAGAGGCAGUAACAAAGGAUGCCGACUCCCCCAUCUGGAUCCCAGAUCGAUUUAUCCGACCUGCAAAGGGAAAAGAGAAGGCGCAAGCGCCACUGGAGAAAGCAGCAGAGGAAACUGGUGACGGACAUGAAAAAGAUGAAGCUCAGCCGCGAGAAACCGAAAG